UCUCUACGUAGCGGCGAGCGAAGCGAGAAGAGACCAAGAUGAAAAUCUCUUCGGAGAGUUGUAAUCUGGGCAAUGUUGAGUCUUCAGUGAGUGUAAGUCACAUGGAAAUGUGUACCGUGGAGGGUGAGAGUCCCGUCCGGCAUUCACAGGAAUUUCUCGUACGACAUUGUCUCAAUCGAGUCGGGUAGCUUGAGAACGCUGCUCUAAUAGGUGGUAAACUUCAUCUAAGUCUAAAUACUGGUGGGAGACCGAUAGCGAACAAGUACCGUGAGGGAAAGAUGGAAAGCACUUUGAAAAGAGAGUGAAAAGAACCUGAAACUGCCACGGGGGAAGCGGAUUGUAUCAGUGUGGUGCGGUAUCUGUUCAGCAAAUGCAUAUGCGUCAUUGGAUGGUGUGUGAGUUUGUGUAUUCAGAACUAGCCGAGUGGGAAUGGCCGGUCGAAUUUGAGCAAUUGAAUUCAGGCUGGUGAGGGCUCCCUUUUGCGUAAAGGUUGAGGAUUUCCACAAAAUGAUGCGAUUCGACCCGUCUUGAAACACGGACCAAGGAGUUUAGUAUUACUGCGAGUCGAAGAGUGUGAAAACUCAGAGGCGAAGUGAAAGCGAAUACUUGAAAAUCGAAAUGUGAGAAAUUGCAGAUCGAGGAGGUGUUGCGUCAUUGACAAAGUGUCUUACCUGGAGCAGUAAUGCUGAGACCCGAAAGAUGGUGAACUAUGCUUGAGUAGGGCAAAGCCAGAGGAAACUCUGGUGGAGGCUCGCAGCGAUGCUGACGUGCAAAUCGCUCGUCGAACUUGAGUAUAGGGGCGAAAGACUAAUCGAACCAUCUAGUAGCUGGUUCCCUCCGAAGUUUCUCUCAGGAUAGCAGGCUGACAUGAGUAAAUUGUUUUGUGUGGUAAAGCGAAUGAUUAGCGUAUUUGGGAAAGUAAUUUUUUCGGUCGAUUCUCAAACUUUAAAUACGCAAGUAAGAGCGGGUUGCUUAGGUGAACCUCUCGACUGCGGUGGUGGUGUGGUUGUUGUUGUAAAACGCGUAUUGAAAAUGUCGGCUUAGUGGGCCACUUUUGGUAAGCAGAACUGGCGAUAUGGGAUGAACCAUGAGUCUGGUUAAGGCGUCAAAGUAUUGGCUUAAAGAACCCACAAAAGGUGUUGGUUCAUCUAGACAGCAGGACGGUGGCCAUGGANNNNNNNAUCCGCUAAGGAGUGUGUAACAACUCACCUGCCGAAUGAACUAGCCCUGAAAAUGGAUGACGCUUAAGCCGAUUGCCGACACCGGACCGUUUUGGUAAGAAGCGACCAAAAUGAGUAGGAGGGCGUGGCGGUUUUGUAUUGAAGGGUAUGACGCAAGUCUGCCUGGAACGGCCGUUAGUGCAGAUCUUGGUGGUAGUAGCAAAUAUUCAAACGAGAUCCUUGAAGGGUGAAGCGGGGAAGGGUUCCACGCGAACAUUGAUUGGGCGUGGGUGAGUCGUUCCUAAGCCGGGUGGUAAUCGUUCUUUGCGAUCGGCGAAAGGGAAGCGGGUUAAAAUUCUCGCACACGGAUGUGGAGGCGGUGACGCGAAUUGAGGUGGAGACGUUAGCGGUGGCACUAGGCAGAGUUGUCUUUUCUGUUUAACCUAUUCUAGUACUCUGUGGAAUCCGAUUAUCGGGAGAAACAGGUGCGCCUAUGGGAAGAGCGUCGAGGUGUCCUCGGCGUCUAGUAUGCCAUCGAUAGCCCUUGAAAAUCUAUCUGCAAUGUAAUUUCACGCCGUGACGUACCGAUAACCGCAGCAGGUCCCCAAGGUGAACAGCCUCUACUCAAUAUGAACAAUGCAGGUAAGGGAAGUCGGCAAAAUAGACCCGUAACUUUGGGAAAAGGGUUGGCUCUAGUGGGGUGAAGGGAGCGGGCGUGUUUGGUUGUUGUUACUACUUUCUUCUUGCUUUUGUAGUGGGGGGGUGGUGAUGGCGAUCCGACUGCUUGCAGAGAAUGAUUAUGGUGGAUGCUUGCGGAUCGGUGCGAGUUAAAAUUGGUUGCGCGCGAGCUUUGUUAAAUCAAUUGCCGCUCGUGUGUUCGAUCGGUUUUCGACUCAAACUGGACUACCGGAUUUUCGUAACUGUUUUCAUUCGACCUUCAGCNNNNCCGAACUAGAACUGCAACGGGCAAAGGGAAUCCGACUGUUUAAUUAAAACAAAGCAUUGUGAUGGCCGAGGUCGGUGUAGACGCAAUGUGAUUUCUGCUCAGUGCUCUGAAUGUCAAAGUGAAGAGAUUCAAACAAGCGCGGGUAAACAGCGGGAGUAACUAUGACUCUCUUAAGGUAGCCAAAUGCCUCGUCAUCUAAUUAGUGACGCGCAUGAAUGGAUUAACGAGAUUCCUACUGUCCCUAUCUGCUUCUAGCGAAACCACAGCCGAGGGAACGGGCUCGGCGAAAUCGGCGGGGAAAGAAGACCCUGUUGAGCUUGACUCUAUUCUAAUUUUGUGGAACAAGUAAGGAGGUGUAGCAUAGGUGGGAGAUUGUACGUUCCUUGCGGGUGUGCCGUCGUCAAUGAAAUACCACUACUCUUUAUCUUGUUCUACUUAUGGCGUUAAACUGCACGAUCCGUUGCGGUCUAUUAUUUGAAUCAAUUUGGAAUCCAGUGUUUUUGCAGAUGGGUUUGAGCUAUAUGUGCGUAACUUCGAGUUUGCCAUUCAUUCUCAUUAUGUUCUGUGUGUGAUAGUGUUAUCGCUAUUCACUUAAUCCGAAAAGCAGCGCGCCUGACAUAUUUAGGAGGGGAGUUUGGCUGGGGCGGCACAUCUUCUACAAGACAACGAAGGUGUCCAAAGAUAAGCUCAGUGAGAACAGAAAUCUCACGUAGCGCAAAAGGGUAAAAGCUUGUUUGAUUUUGAUUUUCAGUGUGAGUUAAAAACACGAAAGUGUGGCCUAUCGAUCCUUUCAUAUUAUAAUUCGAGGUUUGAAG
rnacentral:rRNA from 1 species